rnacentral:rRNA from 1 species
UACGUAGGGUGCAAGCGUUGUCCGGAAUUAUUGGGCGUAAAGAGCUCGUAGGCGGUUUGUCGCGUCUGCUGUGAAAACUCGGGGCUCAACCCCGGGCCUGCAGUGGGUACGGGCAGACUAGAGUGCGGUAGGGGAGACUGGAAUUCCUGGUGUAGCGGUGAAAUGCGCAGAUAUCAGGAGGAACACCAAUUGCGAAGGCAGCUCGCUGGGACGUAACUGACGCUGAGACGCGAAAGCGUGGGGAGCAAACAGG